rnacentral:sRNA from 25 species
CGGGUAAGUGCCGUCCGGCGGCACACCUUGCUCGUGUGCCAGCUCUGGAGACCACCUGCGCGGGAUCAUCCCUCCCUUUUCGGGAGGUCAGCCCGUGGGGUGCCAUCUGGUGCACGGCCGCCCUGCUGGCGUCAGAGCAGCGACGAUGACGCGCCCG